UUCUUACUUACUGUAUCGUCAUUCGGUUGUCCCUUCGUCUGUGGUGUCAUGUUCCGAGACAUCUAUAUCUGGUGUAAUGUCAUACGUUGCUAUUGAUUUAACUGUAUUGCCUUUAUUGUGUCUCGAUUCGAAGUGAGUUCCUUUAAUUGAUUUAUUCGGUAAUAAAUUCUAUUGUAUCUUCAAUACUCUGUGCUUAUCUGUGGAGGAUUUAAGAGCUUGAUCCUGAAGAAACCUGGGACACGGCUCAUCAUACCGGCAGGGCACUUCCAACCAAUGACACCCCAUCCCACGGCCACAUGGAAACUCUCCUCAUCCUCCUAACAUACCAAAAGAUCUCAGCCCGUUUAUGCCUGUGCCUGAUGGUCGUAGUCCAGCACUUUGUUGACAAGAAUCUCGCCCGUUGCUUCAUCGAUUCGAAACUUCUGUUCGCUGUUGCCUUCGACGAUCUGGUAUUCGAAAAGAUUCACUGUGAAAAGAGAAAUAGGAAUAAAGUACACAACUAGAUCUUGAUCAAGGAAGUCGGAACCAUUACAUUUUUCUUUACUCGACAGAGAUUUUCCUUUCGUCAUUUCCUGCAAUCAGGAAUGUAAAGUUGACUGCUAAGGGACGCCAUCUGUCACCUUAAUGGGGAUCUUGUACUGCUUGAACGCCUCUCUGUCCAGGGGCUCCGUCGUCCACAAUUCUCCGUUGGACUUGAGUGCGAAUUUCUGCCUCACGUCUCCCGAAGCCAUGACGUCGAAG